rnacentral:lncRNA from 1 species
UAGCAAGUGAUCGGAUUAGCCAGCCAAAAUUGGGCCUAAUCAUUUAAUAAUUAGAUUCCUAAGUAUGAUCACGUUAGUGGUUGGACCUAACCAGGGCUUGCAGAGAAGAUCAAAGUCAACUAAAAAGUUAUCUGGGACUAAAUCAAUUACUAAAAAUUAUUUAAUAAAAUAAUUGAUUGAAGAACCUAUCCAUGGAUGCACAUAGGUGAGCCGGCCA